rnacentral:rRNA from 1 species
UCCACGCCGUAAACGAUGAUUACUCGUUGUCUGCGAUAUACUGUAGGCGACUGAGCGAAAGCAUUAAGUAAUCCACCUGGGGAGUACGUUCGCAAGAAUGAAACUCAAAGGAAUUGACGGGGGCCCGCACAAGCGGAGGAACAUGUGGUUUAAUUCGAUGAUACGCGAGGAACCUUACCCGGGUUUAAAAUGCAGGACGAAACUCUGAGAAAUCAGAGCCCCUUCGGGCGGAC